rnacentral:misc_RNA from 1 species
UACGUAGGUGGCAAGCGUUGUCCGGAAUUAUUGGGCGUAAAGCGCGCGCAGGUGGUUCUUUAAGUCUGAUGUGAAAGCCCAGGGCUCAACCGGGGAGGGUCAUUGGUAACUGGGGAACUUGAGUGUGGAAGAGGAAGGUGGAAUUCCAAGUGUAGCGGUGAAAUGCGUAGAUAUUUGGAGGAACACCAGUGGCGAAGGCGACUUUCUGGUCUGUAACUGACGCUGAGGCGCGAAAGCGUGGGGAGCAAACAGG